GCCGAAGUGGUGAAAUUGGUAGACACGCAGGACUCAAAAUCCUGUUCCCCUUAAAGGAGUGUCGGUUCGAGUCCGACCUUCGGCACCA
rnacentral:tRNA from 1 species